rnacentral:rRNA from 1 species
UACGUAGGGUGCGAGCGUUGUCCGGAAUUACUGGGCGUAAAGAGCUCGUAGGUGGUUUGUCGCGUUGUUCGUGAAAACUCACAGCUCAACUGUGGGCGUGCGGGCGAUACGGGCAGACUAGAGUACUGCAGGGGAGACUGGAAUUCCUGGUGUAGCGGUGGAAUGCGCAGAUAUCAGGAGGAACACCCGUGGCUAAGGCGGUUCUCUAGUACGGUACUGACGCUGAGACGCGAAAGCGUGGGGAGCGAACAGG